UUGACGGGGCCCGCACAAGCAGCGGAGCAUGUGGUUUAAUUCGAAGCAACGCGAAGAACCUUACCUAGACUUGACAUCUCCUGAAUUACCCGUAACUGGGGAAGCUCUUCGGAGCAGGAAGACAGGUGGUGCAUGGUUGUCGUCAGCUCGUGUCGUGAGAUGUUGGGUUAAGUCCCGCAACGAGCGCAACCCUUAUCGUUAGUUGCUACCAUUAGGUUGAGCACUCUAGCGAGACUGCCCGGGUUAACCGGGAGGAAGGUGGGGAUGACGUCAAAUCAUCAUGCCCCUUAUGUCUAGGGCUACACACGUGCUACAAUGGUGAGGACAAAGAGACGCAAGACCGCGAGGUGGAGCAAAUCUCACAAACCUCAUCCCAGUUCGGAUUGCAGGCUGAAACUCGCCUGCAUGAAGCCGGAGUUGCUAGUAAUCGCGAAUCAGCAUGUCGCGGUGAAUACGUUCCCGGGCCUU
rnacentral:rRNA from 1 species